GAGUUUGAUCCUGGCUCAGGACGAACGCUGGCGGCGUGCUUAACACAUGCAAGUCGAACGGAAAGGCCCCGCUCGCGGGGUACUCGAGUGGCGAACGGGUGAGUAACACGUGGGUGAUCUGCCCUGCACUUCGGGAUAAGCCUGGGAAACUGGGUCUAAUACCGGAUAUGACCUCCCUUUAGUGUGGGGGGUGGAAAGAUUUAUCGGUGCAGGACGAGCCCGCGGCCUAUCAGCUUGUUGGUGGGGUAAUGGCCUACCAUGGCGUCGACGGGUAGCCGGCCUGAGAGGGUGGACGGCCACAUUGGGACUGAGAUACGGCCCAGACUCCUACGGGAGGCAGCAGUGGGGAAUAUUGCACAAUGGGCGGAAGCCUGAUGCAGCGACGCCGCGUGGGGGAUGACGGCCUUCGGGUUGUAAACCUCUUUCGACAGGGACGAAGUGAAAAUGACGGUACCUGUAUAAGAAGCACCGGCUAACUACGUGCCAGCAGCCGCGGUAAUACGUAGGGUGCGAGCGUUGUCCGGAAUUACUGGGCGUAAAGAGCUCGUAGGUGGUUUGUCACGUCGUCUGUGAAAUUCCGGGGCUUAACCUCGGGCGUGCAGGCGAUACGGGCAAUACUUGAGUGCUGUAGGGGAGACUGGAAUUCCUGGUGUAGCGGUGUAAUGCGCAGAUAUCAGGAGGAACACCAAUGGCGAAGGCAGGUCUCUGGGCAGUUACUGACGCUGAGGAGCGAAAGCAUGGUAGCGGAACAGGAUUAGAUACCCUGGUAGUCCAUGCCGUAAACGGUGGGCGCUAGGUGUAGGGGACUUCCACGUUCUCUGUGCCGUAGCUAACGCAUUAAGCGCCCCGCCUGGGGAGUACGGCCGCAAGGCUAAAACUCAAAGGAAUUGACGGGGGCCCGCACAAGCGGCGGAGCAUGUGGAUUAAUUCGAUGCAACGCGAAGAACCUUACCUGGGCUUGACAUACACCGGACCGGCGUAGAGAUACGUCUUCCCUUGUGGCCGGUGUACAGGUGGUGCAUGGUUGUCGUCAGCUCGUGUCGUGAGAUGUUGGGUUAAGUCCCGCAACGAGCGCAACCCUUGUCUUAUGUUGCCAGCACGUGAUGGUGGGGACUCAUGAGAGACUGCCGGGGUCAACUCGGAGGAAGGUGGGGAUGACGUCAAAUCAUCAUGCCCCUUAUGUCCAGGGCUUCACACAUGCUACAAUGGUCGGUACAGCAGGUCGCGAACUCGUGAGAGUAAGCCAAUCCUUCAAAGCCGGCCUCAGUUCGGAUUGGGGUCUGCAACUCGACCCCAUGAAGUCGGAGUCGCUAGUAAUCGCAGAUCAGCAACGCUGCGGUGAAUACGUUCCCGGGCCUGUACACAC
rnacentral:rRNA from 1 species